rnacentral:rRNA from 1 species
UGAAUACGAGACGCUAAGGCGUCGAAGUAGUGUAUGUCAUACUUCCAAGAGAAGCUUGCACUGUCAUAGAUAAAAAACGCCUGUACCAUAACCGACACAGGUGGGUAGGUAGAGUAUACUAAGGGGCGCGAGAUAACUCUCUCUAAGGAACUCGGCAAAAUAACUCCGUAACUUCGGGAGAAGGAGUGCCUUAUUCGUAAGGUUGCAAUAACAAGAUCCAAGCAACUGUUUAUCAAAAGCACAGGUCUCCGCUAAGUCGUAAGACGAUGUAUGGGGGCUGACGCCUGCCCAGUGCCAGAAGGUUAAAGAAGUUGGUUAGCAAUUGCGAAGCUGAUAACUGAAGCCCUGGUGAACGGCGGCCGUAACGAUAACGGUCCUAAGGUAGCGAAAUUCCUUGUCGGGUAAGUUCCGACCCGCACGAAAGGCGUAAUGAUUUGGAUACUGUCUCGGAGAGGGGCUCGGUGAAAUAGACUUGUCUGUGAAGAUGCGGACUACCUGCACCAGGACAGAAAGACCCUAUGAAGCUUUACUGUAACUUGAAAUUGAAAUUGGACUUUAUUCGCGCAGUAUAGGUGGGAGGCGUUGAUUAUAAUCUUGUGGGAUUAUUGGAGCCAUCAGUGAGAUACCACUCUUGUAAUGUUAGAUUUCUAACUUUGAAUCAUUAUCUGGUCAAAGAACAGUUUCAGGCGGGCAGUUUGACUGGGGCGGUCGCCUCCUAAACGGUAACGGAGGCGUACAAAGGUUUCCUCUGAACGGUUAGAAAUCGUAUCUAGAGUGUAAAGGCAUAAGGAAGCUUGACUGUGAGACCUACAAGUCGAGCAGGGACGAAAGUCGGUCUUAGUGAUCUGACGGUACUGAGUGGAAAGGCCGUUACUCAACGGAUAAAAGUUACUCUAGGAUAACAGGCUGAUCUCCCCCAAGAGUUCACAUCGACGGGGAGGUUUGGCACCUCGAUGUCGGCUCAUCGCAUCCUGGGGCGGUAGUACGUCCCAAGGGUUGGGCUGUUCGCCCAUGAAAGCGGUACGCGAGCUGGGUUCAGAACGUCGUGAGACAGUUCGGUCCAUAUCCGGUGUAGGCGUUAGAAUAUUGAGAGGAGCCUUCUUUAGUACGAGAGGACCGAGAAGGACAUACCUCUGGUGUACCAGUUAUCGUGCCAACGGUAAACGCUGGGUAGCUAUGUAUGGAGUGGAUAACCGCUGAAAGCAUCUAAGUGGGAAGCCCACCUCAAGAUAAG